ACUGGUACACCUGGUUUAUGCAGAUCCUCCUUCUUGCUCCCAGGACUUCACACAUGCUGUUGCCCCUGCCUGGACGUGUUCAUGUGGCUGGACUCCAGAAGAGCAGCCUUCCCAAGAACUUAUUUCCCUUCUCCAAGACAGCUGCAACUAUUUAUCCAUUGUCCUCCCUCAUUAGAUUAAAAAGGCCAUGAGGGAAAGAAAGGCUCUAUUCAUCCCCAACAAAUAGUCAGGUCUUGAACAUACAUUAAAGACUUUUAUUUGUCAAAUAAAUUGUUUCCUUAAGCUUAGGAGUUACAAAGUCAAAGACUUUUAAGAAAACAGGAUUGCAUAAAGAAGCAGGUGUGCUAGGAGGCAGGAGAGACUUUAGCCAACUGCAGAGCCACUGGAUAAGAGGACAAGGCUGCCACUUCCUCCCAGCCAGUGACAUGCAAAGGUGGGUCAUGUCCUCUGUUGCCAGAUAGUAAGAUCAAGUUACCAAUAUUCUGGAUUUUUAUUAAAAUUCCCAAUUUUCAUAAAUGUUGGCAAUGACUUUAAAAUGUUUAACCAACCACACUGUGGAAGCCAAGAAAAAUAGGCCGAAAAUCCAGACAGCUACAAACCCUGUGUAGGCCUCUCCCUGAAAUCCUCUGAAAGCUCAGUGAACACACUGACUCUUGUUUCAAUCCAAAGCUUGAGAAAGCAGAUUUUACCAAACAAUCUGGAUUCAUCAAAUUUACAAAGGAAAAAAACAUAAUGCCAAGACAUUAGGAAUUUAUAUAUUUGAAAUGAAAACUGAAUUAUUCCAUUUCAUUACUUCUAUUACAAACUUAGUAGACAUGUCCUAUUUUAGACAGAUUUUUAUAGUGCAAUAGAUUUAAAUGUAUAAUUUUAGAAUUAUAACUCACUAUGAGACUAGCUAUCAUCAUGAGCAGUGCCACCUUGAAUAUUCAUUUUAGCCCAAGAAUAAGAUUAUUUCCUUAGUUCUAAAACACUCUCUAAUAGCCUAAGAAUAGUUUUUAAAUUUACAAUAUUCAGGUUAUAAACAAUUUUAUUCUGAAUUAAACUUAUAUUUGUUUCCAAGCAAUGCAUUUACUCAGUAGGAUACCAGUUACCAGCCAUAAAAAACUUUUGUAUGUUGAAAAUGUAAUUUUAAUAGAUAAUUCUUCAUCUUACAUAGGAGCACAAUAAAAUACACCACAUUCUGAAGAAACUCCAAAAGUUACGAGAUUAAAAGUGGGGGAAAUUCAGAUGGGCUACAAUAUCCAUUACCUUGAAACUGCAAGAGAUAAGGGUUCCAACCCAUAGGUUAACAUAUACAUACUUAGAACUGGCUACAUUGAUGACUUCAAAAUAACAACAAUCAGAAUUAGAUAUAGAGAGGGGGAAAGAACAGUUUUGUGGGGCAUAGGACUCUGUCAAUGAUGAAAAAAAUUACUGAAUAUCAAAUUAAAAAAUAAAAGGAGCUCCCAUAGCAAAUACUAAAGGGAUAAAUAUAAGAAUAAGUAAUUGAGAAUUUGACACUCUCAAAUGAAGCCUUUCUGAUGAUACUUCUGCAAACUGGCAGCUUAAGAUUUGCUCCUUGGGUCUAUUAGGAAGACUCAAAUGUCUCAGCAAAUCCCAAAUGCUUAUCAGAUUGGUGUUUCCUAAUAACACCAUCAGUGAUUACAUGAAGUUUUCAGACAAGAACUAAGGAAAGGGUCAUAACCCAAAUGCCUGUCACAAAUGUGGCACAACAUGGGAAAGUCCUAACAAAGUCAGUCACACUGCUGAUUUGCUGGGACUCUCAUGUACAGUAAUUUUCAAACAUUGUGGCAAGACACCAAUGCUCAUCUAGCUAAUCAAACACAAACACAUUUAUUUCAAAUUUCAAGGAGGUAAAAAAAUGUUAAGAUAUGGAUGUUUUAUGCAUGCUCACAACCAACUUAAAAAUACUCCAUUAAGUGAUAUCAUAACACAAAUUUGCAUCAGUGGAAAGAAACUAGCAUAAUCCACCACUUACCAUUCUACUUGUCGGAUGGUAAAGACCAAAACAGAACAUUUCACUAGUUUAAUUUUUAAAUACAAUUGUCACAUUGGGGAAAUGAAAUAAACACAGUAAAAUAAACUGUACAAAGGCAAAGUAGAAUAACAAAAAAUAUUUUACUAAAACAUAAGAUUUACAGAAGUUUCCAGACAAGCCAUACAAAAUGGUCACAAGCUUUUCUUGAAGGAGGGAUUCUACAUUUGACAGCAAAGUCACAAUGUUAUUUGUGAGGGCCAUGGUGUUUGUUUAAUGUUCCCAUUUUGGUUCAAAUAAUCAAGCUUGUCCACCUACAGAAUCUAAAUAAAGUUAGACUUGGCUAGGGAGCAUAUUCUAAAGAACUGGUUAGCUGCAUUUAACCAAAGCAAUUAGAUCACCAUAAAAAGGGGGAAAGGAGCCCAUAAAAUUAAAAUUAAACUACUUACCCCCUCAAAAAAA